rnacentral:tRNA from 1 species
UGACCAGCUGGCCGAAUGGCAGGCCACAGGCGGCUACCAGCUGCCCGACUGGGACCAGUUCAAGACCGAACUGGCCGG